rnacentral:rRNA from 1 species
GAUGAACGCUGGCGGCGUGCCUAAUACAUGCAAGUAGAACGCAGUGGCGAACGGGUGAGUAACGCGUAGGUAACUGCCUCAUAGCGGGGGAAAACUAUUGGAAACGAUAGCUAAUACCGCAUACUUUAACAUGGACCUGUGUUGUAUUAGCUAGGUGGUGAGGUAAAGGCUCACCAAGGCGGCGAUACAUAGCCGGCCUGGGAGGGUGAUGGGCCACACUGGGGCUGGGAAACUGGCCAGACUCCUACGGGAGGGAGCAGUAGGGGAUCUUUGGAAAAUGGCGGAAAGCUGGACGAGCAACGCCGCGGGAGUGGAGAAAGUUUUCGGGUCGUAAAACUAUGUUGUUAGGGGAGCGGUAACUAACCAGAAAGGAACGGCUAACUACGUGCCAGCAGCCGCGGUAAUAC